CCUUCGAUAGCUCAGUUGGUAGAGCGGUGGACUGUAGUAUGGCAUAUUUAUAAUAUAGACAUCCAUAGGUCGCUGGUUCAAAUCC
rnacentral:tRNA from 1 species